UACGUAGGGUGCGAGCGUUGUCCGGAAUUACUGGGCGUAAAGCGCGCGUAGGUGGUUUGUUAAGUUGGAUGUGAAAUCCCCGGGCUCAACCUGGGAACUGCAUCCAAAACUGGCAAGCUAGAGUAUGGUAGAGGGUGGUGGAAUUUCCUGUGUAGCGGUGAAAUGCGUAGAUAUAGGAAGGAACACCAGUGGCGAAGGCGACCACCUGGACUGAUACUGACACUGAGGUGCGAAAGCGUGGGGAGCAAACAGG
rnacentral:rRNA from 1 species